rnacentral:rRNA from 1 species
UACGGAGGGUGCAAGCGUUAAUCGGAAUUACUGGGUGUAAAGCGUGCGCAGGCGGUUUGUUAAGUCUGUUGUGAAAUCCCCGAGCUCAACUUGGGAAUUGCAAUGGAUACUGGCAGGCUGGAGUAUGGUAGAGGAAGGUGGAAUUCCCGGUGUAGCAGUGAAAUGCGUAGAGAUCGGGAGGAACACCAGUGGCGAAGGCGGCCUUCUGGACCAAUACUGACGCUCAUGCACGAAAGCGUGGGGAGCAAACAGG